CGACCUCAAAUCAGGUAGGACUACCCGCU
rnacentral:ncRNA from 2 species